GACGAACGCUGGCGGCGUGCUUAACACAUGCAAGUCGAACGGUGAAGGUGGAGCUUGCUCCGCCGGAUCAGUGGCGAACGGGUGAGUAACACGUGGGCAACCUGCCCCUGACUUCGGGAUAACUCCUCGAAAGAGGUGCUAAUACCGGAUACGAAUCCUGCAGGCAUCUGCGGGAUUGGAAAGAUUUUGGGUCAGGGAUGGGCCCGCGGCCUAUCAGCUUGUUGGUGAGGUAGUGGCUCACCAAGGCGACGACGGGUAGCCGGCCUGAGAGGGCGACCGGCCGCACUGGGACUGAGACACGGCCCAGACUCCUACGGGAGGCAGCAGUGGGGAAUAUUGCGCAAUGGGCGAAAGCCUGACGCAGCAACGCCGCGUGAGGGAUGACGGCCUUCGGGUUGUAAACCUCUUUCAGCAGGGAAGAAGCGAAAGUGACGGUACCUGCAGAAGAAGCACCGGCUAACUACGUGCCAGCAGCCGCCGUAA
rnacentral:rRNA from 1 species